rnacentral:rRNA from 1 species
CCCUUAGAUGUUCUGGGCCGCACGCGUGCUACACUGAGUGGAUCAGCGGGUCAGGUUGCGCGAAAGCGUUUCCUAAUCUUUAAAUCCGCUCGUGAUGGGGAUUGACGGUUGCAAUUUUCUGUCAUGAACGAGGAAUACCUUGUAAGCGCGGGUCAUCAUCCCGCGCUGAAUACGUCCCUGCCCUUUGUACACACCGCCCGUCGCUCCUACCGAUUGAGUGGUCCGGUGAGGCUUUGGGAGCUGAGCGGAAAGAGCGUUUCGCUGUUUCUGCUCGGAAAACUCAGUCGAACCUUAUCAUUUAGAGGAAGGAGAAGUCGUAACA